UACGUAGGGUGCGAGCGUUGUCCGGAAUUACUGGGCGUAAAGAGCUCGUAGGUGGUUUGUCGCGUUGUCCGUGAAAACUCACAACUCAAUUGUGGGCGUGCGGGCGAUACGGGCAGACUGGAGUACUGCAGGGGAGACUGGAAUUCCGGGUGUAGCGGUGGAAUGCGUAGAUAUCCGGAAGAACACCUGAGGCGAAGGCGGCUUGCUGGGCAUGAUCUGACGCUGAGGCGCGAAAGCGUGGGGAGCAAACAGG
rnacentral:rRNA from 1 species